AAUGAACGUUGGCGGCAUGGAUUAGGCAUGCAAGUCGAGCGAGAAGGGUUUUGAAGCUUGCUUUAGAACCUGGAAAGCGGCGGAAGGGAGAGUAACGAGUAGUUAUCUACCCCAAGGCCCGGAAUAGCUGCGGGAAACUGCAGGUAAUGCCGGAUAAUAUCCCCGGAUCAAAGGUGUGAUUCCGCCUUGGGAGGAGACUGCUUUGUACUAGCUUGUUGGUGGGGUAAUGGCCUACCAAGGCUACGAUGCAUAGCGGGCGUGAGAGCGUGGCCCGUCUCACUGGGACUGAAACACUGCCCAGACACCUACGGGUGGCUGCAGUCGAGAAUCUUCGGCAAUGGGCGAAAGCCUGACCGAGCGAUGCCGCGUGCGGGAUGAAGGCCCUCGGGUUGUAAACCGCUGUCGUAGAGGAGAAAGGUCUCGUGAAGAGCGAGAUUUGAUCUAUUCUAGGAGGAAGUCGGGGCUAAGUUCGUGCCAGCAGCCGCGGUAACACGAACCCGACGAACGUUAUUCGGAAUUAUUGGGCUUAAAGGGUGCGUAGGCGGUGCGGUAAGUGCGGUGUGAAAGCCCCUCGGCUCAACCGAGGAAUUGCGCUGCAUACUGCCGUGCUGGAGGGAGACAGGGGUAAGCGGAACUGAUGGUGGAGCGGUGAAAUGCGUUGAUAUCAUCAGGAACACCGGUGGCGAAAGCGGCUUACUGGGUCUUCUCUGACGCUGAGGCACGAAAGCUAGGGUAGCGAACGGGAUUAGAUACCCCGGUAGUCCUAGCCGUAAACGAUGAGCACUUGAUUGAGGGCCCCCCCAUAGGCUCUCGAUCGCAGCGAAAGUGUUAAGUGCUCCGCCUGGGGAGUAUGGUCGCAAGGCUGAAACUCAAAGGAAUUGACGGGGGCUCACACAAGCGGUGGAGGAUGUGGCUUAAUUCGAGGCUACGCGAAGAACCUUAUCCAGGCCUUGACAUGUACGGAUGCUGCCCGUGAAAGCGGGUUAGUUGCCUUCGGGUGAAACGUGCACAGGUGCUGCAUGGCUGUCGUCAGCUCGUGUCGUGAGAUGUCGGGUUAAGUCCCUUAACGAGCGAAACCCUUGUCCUUAGUUGCCAGCGAGUCAUGUCGGGGACUCUAAGGAGACUGCCGGCGUUAAGCCGGAGGAAGGUGGGGAUGACGUCAAGUCCUCAUGGCCUUUAUGGUCUGGGCUGCACACGUCCUACAAUGGCAUAUACAAAGGGAUGCUACCUCGCGAGAGCAAGCAAAUCCCAAAAAGUAUGCCCCAGUUCGGAUUGCAGGCUGCAACUCGCCUGCAUGAAGCCGGAAUCGCUAGUAAUCGUGGGUCAGCAUACCACGGUGAAUAUGUUCCUGAGCCUUGUACUCACC
rnacentral:rRNA from 1 species